AACGCUUACAAAACUUUUGUUAGUAAGAAAUGCACUCUUGAAUUAUAUUAGUUUAACUUUAGCUAUAAGGAUCUUUUAACUGACGAUAGAACGAGUAGCGCUACUAUGUACAUGAUGUACUGUAACAAUUUAACCAAGUCUACAUACAUACACCGUUUGUUGGUUCGCCUGGCAUAGGCGGAACUUGCAGUUAAGGUAGGUUAAAGGAACAUGUAAAAAGAAAGAUAACGGUUGGUUUCUUUCCCUCGACUUAUAUUUCUGUGAAGAAAUUUAAAGUAAGUAAACAUCUAGACAAUCUUAUAUGUUUCUGGUUAUGUUAUAGUUUCAAAAAUAUCAGAUCAACAGUUUAUUUAUUACUGAUAAGAAUAUCUAACAUGUGUACCAACAGUCAAGGGGCUAAAAUAUAAAAAAAAACAAAAACACUGUAAUACUAAUUACUGAUAACAUAUACAUGUAUGUUACAUGUUUCAAAGGGACAAUAUUAUUAUCAAUAUACAACCUUUACUUUGUUAAAUUUUUCACAAGUUAUAUUGGUAUUAUAACUUUCUUUUAGUAUACUAAACUUUGCAAAGAUAUAACAGUUCAUAGUUUAUCAUAGUACACCUAUGUUAUCAUACAGAAAAUAUAUUCCUGCAAUAACCAAAGGGUGUUAUUACAGCUUCUCUACAACUCUUUAAAGCCUUUGCUCAAACAUAUAUCACAAUGCAUUUCAAUUCAUUGUAAGAAACAGUGGCGGAUCUACUGGAAAUUUCCGUCAUGAUUCAGUGAUUCUCUAUAUAAUCAACCAAAUUUUUUUCUCAAAAGGGGGGCCCUGGCCCCCACCCCCUAAAUCCGCCUCUGAGAAAUGAUCAAAGCUUGUAAUGAGGCACUGCACAAGAUUCCCAGGUGUCUCAUUUACUCUUAUAUAAUAAGUAACAUGCCUGUAAUAUAACUGAGCCUAUUUAAUACAGCAUAGUUUUCGUUUGAAGGCCUUGUCUCAUUGAUGAACCAAGGUUGAUCAAAAUUGUAUUAAGGGAAUUAGAAAAUUAGUUAUCAAGGUAAUAUAUAAAGCUACUGCACAAAGUUUCAGCAAGACUUUUUUUUUCUGGGACACCAUCAUAACUAUUUGGACUACCUAUACUUUGACCUUAAAUCAUGAUAAUCCAAAUGAAUCGUGAUGCCUGAAAAGGUCAUAUUUUAUAGACAUGAUAGACAGUAUCUCAGAGAAAAAACCUUGGCCAGGCGUAAUAAUCAUUUGGACUAAGGUGAAGUACAGUCUUCAGUCAUGUCAACACUGAGCCCGGUAAAUAAUGUUGACCUACAAUGUUUACAAAUACCAGCAUUCUUGUCCUUACUGAAUAAAGAAGAUGUGAGGUAAACAUCAAUGGGACAGUACACAUAUAUAUGUUUCUUUUACAUGUUGUAUAUAUUAUGGAUUCAGAAUUACAAUUACUUAAACAUACAAGAUACAGUCAGACAUGUCAGAUGCAUUAUUUAAUUAAGAGAAUGUCAAAAUAGAUUUGUUAUAUACAUGAUAUAUGUGUAAAUUGCAGAAAGGUAUCAAAAGGAUAAAUAUGUCUAUAUAAUGUUUGUUCCUUACAGAGUUGUACAAGAACACAAAUACAGGAGAUAUUAAACCAUUAUCAAUAAGACAUUUUAAGAUGUUAGAGAAAGGAGAGGAUUUAGUCACACUCAACAGUACUCUACAGAGACACAUAAACACACAGGCUUAUAAAACACAUCAUAAAUGUGAUGUCUGUGCUAGAGAAUUUAGUCAAAGUGGUGACUUAAAAAGACACAUGAGAACACAUACUGGUGAAAAACCUUAUAAAUGUGAUGUGUGUGUUAGAGAAUUUAGUCGAAGUAAUGACUUAAAACGACACAAGAGAACACAUACUAGAGACCAACCUCAUGACUGUGAUGUAUGUGGUAAAGGGUUCAGACAGCUUCGUUAUUUACAAAGACACAUGAGAACACAUAAUGGUGACAAUUCUUAUAACUGUGAUGUUUGUGGUAAAAGUUUUAGUGAGCAAGGAAGUUUAAAGAAACACAUUAAAAUACAUACAGGGGACACACCUUAUGACUGUUGUAUAUGUGGUAAAGGAUUUAGUGAGAAAGGUAAUUUACAGAAACAUGCGAGAACACAUACAGGUGACAAACCUUAUGACUGUGAUGUAUGUGGUAAAAGAUUUAGUGAGCAAGGUAAUUUACAGAAACACAUGAAAAUACAUACAGGGGACACGCCUUAUGACUGUUGUAUAUGUGGUAAAGGAUUUAGUGAGAAAAGUUAUUUACAGAAACAUGUGAGAACACAUACAGGUGACAAACCUUAUGACUGUGAUGUAUGUGGUAAAGGAUUUAGUCAAAAAGGUAAUUUACAGAAACAUGCGAGAACACAUACAGGUGACAAACCUUAUGACUGUGAUGUAUGUGGUAAAAGAUUUAGUGAGCAAGGUAAUUUACAGAAACAUGCAAGAACGCAUACAGGUGACAAACCUCAUGUCUGUGUUCUUUGUGAUAAAAAGUUCAGUCAGCUUAGUCAUUUACAGGGACACAUAGGAACACAUACAGGUUACAAACCUCAUAAAUGUGAUAUAUGUGGGAAUGGAUUUAGUGAUCUUAGUAAUUUAAAGAGACAUAGGAAAAUACAUACAUUGUACAUGUACAGGUGAAACAUGUAAACCUCAUAAUUGUGAUGCAUGUGGGAAAGGGUUUAGCCAAAUUAGUAGUUUACAGAGACACAUGAGAACACAUACAGGGGAUAAAUCUCAUGACUGUGAUACAAUGUAUAUAUGUGAAUCCGGGUUUGGUCAGCAUUGUAAUUAACACAUUGACCAUGUUGACACGAGAACACAUGCAGGUGAUCAACCUCAUGUUUUUGGUGAUGUGGUAAUGGGUGUAAAUAGCUAGCUUAGAUAUGUAGAGAAACAUGAUGCAUACAGCAGAUAAACCUCAUGACUAUGUGGUAAAGGUUUUUGCCAGCAUUUCAACUCAAAGAGCCAAAUUGAAAUAAAUGGGGGUAACUCCUAAAUUAGACGUUGAGGAGUCAGUGUGAGUGAUAAUCUACACACUAAAAUUAUGAGAACAUGUACAUGUAAAUAAGUGAUAAUUUUCGUAGACACAUGAGAGCACAUUUAGUAGAUAAGUGAUAAUUUGCCUAGCUUUGUAGACACAUGAGAACACAUACUAGUAAUUAUUUACAUAAAACAUGAUAACUCAAUAUUUGUACUAGUG
rnacentral:lncRNA from 1 species